rnacentral:siRNA from 1 species
GAGCAGAGAUGCAACCGUUGGUGU